CCUGGUUCUUGUGACUGAGGAAGAGGAUGAUCUGCAGCCUCUUCACCAGCUGCUCCAGACUCUGCUCCGCACACGCCUCAGCUGCCUUAGCCAGGGGGUUGCAGCUCACACCGUGGUGUUUCCCGGUUCACCUUUGGUGCUGAUAACAAGAGGAAGAAAUGAGAUUACAGUGUGUGAUAUGAACAAGUCAUUACAUCAUGAGUACAGUAAGUGUGCAUCAGGAAGGUGUUCUGAGACAUGUCAGAGAGGAUUUCUUUUUGGAGAAGGGGGACAUCUGUAGCAGCUUCAGCAUGAAAAGCAGCAGUUUCAGGUUUCUUCAGAAAGCCCACCACGAAGGCCGGAUGCUUCUCUGCUUUCCAAAGCGCCAUCUCCAUCUCUUCUAGGACUCUCGCUGACAACAGAGAUCUACGUGACAAUCAUUAAUGUCACAAGCGCUUUUCUUCUCCUGCAGCUGUAAUUGGUCAUGACUUAGCCCCUGCAUUUUUUUAAGGAUAAUCUCACAUUUAAAUUGUGUGUGGUGACUGUUUUAACUUUAGGAUUUUGGUCAUUUGCACAGUGAUAAAAAAAACUAGUAAUAUCCACUAAGGCUGUAUUUAAGCAUAAGAGACGUAUAACUUGGUUUUCUUUGUCAAAUCAUUUAUUAUUUACCCAUAUCUUUGAGUUGUGGUUUCAUUUCAGCUCUGUCACAAUCUAGUCAUGUGCUUAAAAGCCAUUUUAAUUAGUUGGUACACAUGUGUAUCAGUUUUUCAUCAAUUUGUCAUGCAUCAUUAUAAUGUCUUAUAUUACUGUUUAUCACUUAAUUUGUAUGUCCAGUCACUGUGAAAUAUGUGAAAAUAAAACUAAACCUCAUCAGGAUAACUGCUGUGUGAGCAGUUUGACCACAGUCUGAACUUAUAUCGUCACUCACCGUCUGCGGAGCGGCGACAACUCUUCCCUCUCAAGUUCAGAGGUGGACAGAAAAAGAUGGGUGUGAGUGGUCUUUGGAGUUGGGGUCAGAGUCAAGUCCAGCUCCAUUUCAGUUGGAAGCACCAUACAUCCUUAUAGAAACAUAAAAUUUAAGUCCAGGGGCAAGGAAGCCACCAGCUAAACACUUGUAGAGAUAUGUUGUGUCUGUCAAAGGUUUUCCAUCUUCGAUUCUAAAACAACAACUGGCUAGUAAAAUAGCCAGGUUUUUCAACAAGCCACUGUAUAUCUGUUUUUUGUUAAAAAACAAUCAACUUUUUUUACACAAUUAGAAAUCUGACAGGUUACACUUUGUUUGUAUGUUCUCUGUAACUUGUACCUGUGAAAUCUGAGUCUAUGAGGCCUCCAUUCAUCUUGCAUUCUUCGCUGGGCUCCUCUGGUAAAUCAUACUGGGAAAUGUCCACUGAUGCUGAUACAUCUGAAAGCAAAGCUGAAAUUUUCACACUGUUAUGCUUUUUUAUUUAAUUUAAAAACUUACGUUAUCUCACCUUGACGAAGUACAUCCAGGAUUGGAAGCUGCUCGUCCAGUAGCUCAGGAACAACAUUCACAUGACUGCGAAUGCUUGAAAAGGUGGUGCAGUUUUCUGUGGUGAGUAUAAAACUGUCCACUACAACAGGUAACAGCAGAGACUACAGAGGAAAAAUGAUAGAAAUUAAGUAAUUUCAUACAUGCAACACAAUAAUUUGGCAUUUAUCUUUGUCUAAAUUACCUCGUCCUUCAUGAGUGACUCUUUAAGAAACUCCUCAUGUAUGUUUGUGCACGUCUGGGUGUCACUGGUAUACACAUCAGGAGCUUUUUCAUAAGACGCACAGUGCCUGAAAAGUUUAUAAUCCAACAGGUUUUAACAUUAUGGCUAACACACACUGGAACAUGAAUGACACAAUAAAACCAGCAACAUAACUUUAUUGACAGUAUUGACACUUUAAUUACAAAACUAGGAAACACACUUGUGGGUGAACAUAUAGAGCCAGUUUUCACCUGAAUAUGGUGUCCUCAGAGAUGGUGUCUCCUGUUGAGC